rnacentral:rRNA from 1 species
UACGGAGGGUGCAAGCGUUAUCCGGAUUCACUGGGUUUAAAGGGUGUGUAGGCGGGUAUUUAAGUCAGUGGUGAAAUCUCCAGGCUCAACCCGGAAACUGCCAUUGAUACUAUUUAUCUUGAAUCCUGUUGAGGUGGGCGGAAUAUAUCAUGUAGCGGUGAAAUGCUUAGAUAUGAUAUAGAACACCGAUUGCGAAGGCAGCUCACUAAGCAGGUAUUGACGCUGAGGCACGAAAGCGUGGGGAUCAAACAGG